UGCUGGAGGUAUCAGAAGUGCGAAUGCUGACAUAAGUAACGAUAAUGCGGGUGAAAAACCCGCACGCCGGAAGACCAAGGGUUCCUGUCCAACGUUAAUCGGGGCAGGGUGAGUCGACCCCUAAGGCGAGGCUGAAAAGCGUAGUCGAUGGGAAACAGGUUAAUAUUCCUGUACUUGGUGUUACUGCGAAGGGGGGACGGAGAAGGCUAGGCUGGCCGGGCGACGGUUGUCCCGGUUCAAGCGUGUAGGGGUGUAGUCCUGGUAAAUCCGGAUUACUUUAACCCUGAGGCGUGAUAACGAGCCACUACGGUGGUGAAGUAGCUGAUGCCCUGCUUCCAGGAAAAGCCUCUAAGCUCCAGGUAACACGAAAUCGUACCCCAAACCGACACAGGUGGUCAGGUAGAGAAUACUCAGGCGCUUGAGAGAACUCGGGUGAAGGAACUAGGCAAAAUGGUGCCGUAACUUCGGGAGAAGGCACGCUGGCGCGUAGGUGAAGAGACUUGCUCUCGGAGCCGAAGCCAGUCGCAGAUACCAGCUGGCUGCAACUGUUUAAUAAAAACACAGCACUGUGCAAACACGAAAGUGGACGUAUACGGUGUGACGCCUGCCCGGUGCCGGAAGGUUAAUUGAUGGGGUUAUCCGCAAGGAGAAGCUCUUGAUCGAAGCCCCGGUAAACGGCGGCCGUAACUAUAACGGUCCUAAGGUAGCGAAAUUCCUUGUCGGGUAAGUUCCGACCUGCACGAAUGGCGUAAUGAUGGCCAGGCUGUCUCCACCCGAGACUCAGUGAAAUUGAACUCGCUGUGAAGAUGCAGUGUACCCGCGGCAAGACGGAAAGACCCCGUGAACCUUUACUAUAGCUUGACACUGAACAUUGAGCCUUGAUGUGUAGGAUAGGUGGGAGGCUUUGAAGCGUGGACGCCAGUCUGCGUGGAGCCAUCCUUGAAAUACCACCCUUUAAUGUUUGAUGUUCUAACUCGGCCCCGUGAUCCGGGGUGAGGACAGUGUCUGGUGGGUAGUUUGACUGGGGCGGUCUCCUCCUAAAGAGUAACGGAGGAGCACGAAGGUUAGCUAAUCACGGUCGGACAUCGUGAGGUUAGUGCAAUGGCAUAAGCUAGCUUGACUGCGAGAGUGACGGCUCGAGCAGGUACGAAAGUAGGUCAUAGUGAUCCGGUGGUUCUGAAUGGAAGGGCCAUCGCUCAACGGAUAAAAGGUACUCCGGGGAUAACAGGCUGAUACCGCCCAAGAGUUCAUAUCGACGGCGGUGUUUGGCACCUCGAUGUCGGCUCAUCACAUCCUGGGGCUGAAGUAGGUCCCAAGGGUAUGGCUGUUCGCCAUUUAAAGUGGUACGCGAGCUGGGUUUAGAACGUCGUGAGACAGUUCGGUCCCUAUCUGCCGUGGGCGUUGGAAGAUUGAGAGGGGCUGCUCCUAGUACGAGAGGACCGGAGUGGACGCAUCACUGGUGUUCGGGUUGUCAUGCCAAUGGCAUUGCCCGGUAGCUAAAUGCGGAAAAGAUAAGCGCUGAAAGCAUCUAAGCGCGAAACUUGCCUCGAGAUGAGUCUUCCCUGUGGCUUUAAGCCACCUGAAGGGACGUUUAAGACUAAGACGUUGAUAGGCUGGGUGUGUAAGUGCAGCGAUGCAUUGAGCUAACCAGUACUAAUGACCCGAGAGGCUUAACCUUACAACACCGAAGGUGUUU
rnacentral:rRNA from 1 species